rnacentral:rRNA from 1 species
AUACGUAGGGGGCAAGCGUUGUCCGGAAUUACUGGGCGUAAAGCGCACGCAGGCUGACUUAUAAGUCGGUAGUCUAAUGCGGAGGCUCAACUUCCGUUUAUCUAUCGAUACUGUAAGACUAGAGUAUGUGAGAGGGAAGUGGAAUUCCCGGUGUAGCGGUGAAAUGCGUAGAGAUCGGGAGGAACACCAGUGGCGAAGGCGGGUAACUGGACUGCAACUGACGCUGAGGCGCGAAAGUGUGGGGAGCAAACAGGAUUAGAUACCCUGGUAGUCCACACUGUAAACGAUGAAUGCUAGGUGUAAGAGGUAUCGACCCCUUUUGUGCCGGAGUCAACACAAUAAGCAUUCCGCCUGGGGAGUACGGCCGCAAGGUUGAAACUCAAAGGAAUUGACGGGG